AAGGGCUCCCAGGCGGGGCCGCCCAUGGGUGGGGCUUGGGGAGGUCUGUGGGCCUGGGUGGGUGAAAAGUGCAUCUUUAUAUUCAUUAUCCUCGAGCUAAAAUGUGGCAUUCCAUUGGGAAUAUAGACCAGGAAAAGAAAAAAAGCAAAGAAGAGUCACCUAGAAGAGACUGCAGUGUUCCUCGAUGCAUUUUAUGUGAUCUAAUUCCACACGACCGUACCAUGCACUCAGAUACAGCAUAAUAGAUGGAGCAAAUGCCAUAAUUUCAUUCUUCCUCAAGGCUGAGUAAUAGCCCAUUGUGUAUUUAUAUCACAAUUUCUUUAUCCAUUCAUCUGUUGAAGGACACCAAGGUUAGUUCCAUAGUUUAUCGAUUGUGCAUUGAGCUGCUACAGACAUUGGUGUGGCUGCGUCGCUGUAGUAUGCUGAUUUUUAGUCCUUUGGGGAGUAGGAGGAUGAUAACUGGGUCAAAUGGUGGUUGCAUUCCAGAGUUUCUGAGGAAUCUCCAUUCUGCUUUCCAGAGUGGUUGCACCAAUUUGCAGUCCUACUCAUCAAUACUUUUUAGUGACUAUAGUACUAGAAUUUCCACUGCACUUUACCAUUUAAUGCACUAUCAAAUAUAUAUGUGCAAAUACAUUUAUAUAUAAUAUCUAUGCAAAUAUGUAAAGUAUAUAUCAAAAUUUGUAAUAUUUUAAGAAAUGUGAAGGAAAAAAAAGAAAUGUGCUACCAUUUAGUUUCCCAUAUAAUCUUUAAAAUAUUUUAUUGCAUGCUUUUUAAAACAUUACAUUUGAGGCAGGUUGCAGGAGUUUCCCCAGAGCACCAAAGGGCUCCUUUCCUGAUGGAAAGGUAGGACCAGAGCCACGGGCAGCCUGGCACCUGGCCCGGAGCCAGGAGGAGCAGGCACUGUUAGCCAAGGACCAGUUGAAACGGGAAGACACAAGUGUGCUGCCUUUAUUCAAGAGGCUUUAGAAAACUGUGACCCUGUCCAUGAGUAAGAGCAUUUCAUCCACAAGUAGAACAGAUACCAUGGAGGCUCCCUGUGUGCCAGGCUCUCAUUCUGCAGUGAGUAAAAGAGACUAAAAGCUCUGCUCUUGCGUGGCUUAUAUUCUGAAGGGGAGAUCAAUAAGUAAAUGAAAGUGAAAUCUAUAGUAUGUUAGUGGAGAAAGGCCGUGGAAAAUGAAGGGUGUCUGCCAUUUGGGGGUGGGGGGUACUGGGGAUUAAACUCAGGGGCACUUGGCCACUGAGCCACAUCCCAAGCCCCACUUUGUAUUUGAUUUAGAGACAGGGUCUCACUGAGUUGCUCAGCACCUCACUUUUCUGAGGCUGGCUUUGAACUCAUGAUCCUCCUGCCUCAGCCUCCCGAGCCACUGGGAUUACAGGUGUGCGCCACCGCGCCGCGUUUGCCAUUUUAAUAGCACAGUCAGGGAAAGCAUCCUAAGAGGUCAUGUCUGACCUAUUCGGUUUCAAAGGGGAGAUUCUCAGUCAGGUGCUAAUUAGAUGUUCUCUGUUACUAGGAAUAUCCCUUUGCAAUAAAAAAGAGCGCCUAACUCUGUUUUAGCUCUUUGUGCGAUGAACAGUGUCUGAUUAAAGUGUCUAGCGCUC